AACGAACGCUGGCGGCAGGCUUAACACAUGCAAGUCGAACGGGCGUAGCAAUACGUCAGUGGCGGACGGGUGAGUAACACGUGGGAAUGUGCCUUUCGGUUCGGAACAACUCGGGGAAACUCGUGCUAAUUCCGGAUACGCCCUUACGGGAAGAUUAUCGCCGAAAGAUCAGCCCGCGUCCGAUUAGCUAGUUGGUGAGGUAAAGGCUCACCAAGGCACCGAUCGGUAGCUGGUUUGAGAGAACGACCAGCCACACUGGGACUGAGACACGGCCCAGACUCCUACGGGAGGCAGCAGUGGGGAAUCUUGGACAAUGGGCGCAAGCCUGAUCCAGCCAUGCCGCGUGAGUGAUGAAGGCCUUCGGUUGUAAAC
rnacentral:rRNA from 1 species